CGGCAGCGGGAAAGUACUUGCUACUUUUGCCGGCGAGCGGCUUACGGGUGAGUAAUGCCUGGGAAAUUGCCCAGUCGAGGGGGAUAACAGUUGGAAACGACUGCUAAUACCGCAUACGCCCUACGGGGGAAAGCAGGGGACCUUCGGGCCUUGCGCGAUUGGAUAUGCCCAGGUGGGAUUAGCUAGUUGGUGAGGUAAUGGCUCACCAAGGCGACGAUCCCUAGCUGGUCUGAGAGGAUGAUCAGCCACACUGGAACUGAGACACGGUCCAGACUCCUACGGGAGGCAGCAGUGGGGAAUAUUGCACAAUGGGGGAAACCCUGAUGCAGCCAUGCCGCGUGUGUGAAAAAGGCCUUCGGGUUGUAAAGCACUUUCAGCGAGGAGGAAAGGUUGAUGCCUAAUACGUAUCAACUGUGACGUUACUCGCAGAAGAAGCACCGGCUAACUCCGUGCCAGCAGCCGCGGUAAUACGGAGGGUGCUAGCGUUAAUCGGAAUUACUGGGCGUAAAGCGCACGCAGGCGGUUGGAUAAGUUAGAUGUGAAAGCCCCCGGGCUCAACCUGGGAAUUGCAUUUAAAACUGUCCAGCUAGAUUCUUGUAGAGGGGGGUAGAAUUCCCGGUGUAACGGUGAAAA
rnacentral:rRNA from 1 species